AACGAACGCUGGCGGCAGGCUUAACACAUGCAAGUCGAGCGCCCCGCAAGGGGAGCGGCAGACGGGUGAGUAACGCGCGGGAAUCUACCCAUCUCUACGGAAUAACGCAUGGAAACGUGUGCUAAUACCGUAUACGUCCUUCGGGAGAAAGAUUUAUCGGAGAUGGAUGAGCCCGGGUUGGAUUAGCUAGUUGGUGGGGUAAAGGCCUACCAAGGCGACGAUCCAUAGCUGGUCUGAGAGGAUGAUCAGCCACACUGGGACUGAGACACGGCCCAGACUCCUACGGGAGGCAGCAGUGGGGAAUAUUGGACAAUGGGCGCAAGCCUGAUCCAGCCAUGCCGCGUGAGUGAUGAAGGCCCUAGGGUUGUAAAGCUCUUUCACCGGUGAAGAUAAUGACGGUAACCGGAGAAGAAGCCCCGGCUAACUUCGUGCCAGCCGCCGCCGUAAGAC
rnacentral:rRNA from 1 species